GCUUGUGACUCAGUCGGUAGAGCAUGAGACUCUUAAUCUCAGAGUUGUGGGUUCAAGCCCCACGUUAGGCA